CUGACUCAUCUCAACACUGCUGUUCAUCCGUUCCCUUUGUCUACCUGUGCUUUCCAGCAGUUCAGUGUCUUCUUUAUUCUCCCUAGACUCAGGAGAAAUUAACACUCACUUGCCUGAAGUUGCUGUGUUCAUCUUCCCUCUUGUGCACACUGAGGAGCGGAAUACACUGAUAUAAUUCCACUGAAUUUGAG
rnacentral:lncRNA from 12 species